CCAAUCUUCACAUCUUCCACAUUCUAAACUGAGUUGAGUGACUAUGCCAGCUUAAGGGUAUGAAUACACUCGACAGAUCAUUGGUACUCAUUGUCCUCCUCCUGGCAAGCUACUCUCUGGCUGUCAAACCAUCAUGUAAAGUAUGCAAAGAUUUUGUCCAAGCCUUCAACAAAAGGAUGGACGACACAGCCAAGUCAAACUUUGCUGAUGGGGACACGAAUUGGGAGGAGGAGAAACUCGCCUCCUACGCUAACAGUGAGGUUCGAUUGAUCGAGAUGCUGGACGAACAUUCAAAUUAUGAUUGCCAUCGACUGCUGGAGAAUUAUGAGGAGGACAUUGAGAGAUGGUGGUUCAAGCUGAGACAUAAGGAGGAGGGCUAUGAUGAUCUAAAGCAGUGGUUGUGCUCAACUAACCUCGAUGUGAGGAGGACCGGAGCUGAUACAAGAGAGCUCUUGUCUGGCAGGACAGACCCAACAGCUGCAGGCAGGACUACAGCGUCUCUUGUCAGCUGAGCUGCUCUGGAGCGAGGGCUGUGAUGAGUGUAAGAGUGGCUACAGGAUGGAGGAGAACAUUAUUCUGUUGCAUACCUCACAGAUACUAAUUCCCUGAUGAUAUUCUGCACUUCACAAAGCACCCAGCUGCCCUCCUCAAAGAAGUUGGUCAGAGUCUGUGACAGCUGCUUCCUGGACUUGAACUGAACAUAAUUUACACACUUUGUUUUUGUAUAAUUAUACCUCAUUCAUUUUGUGUUGUCCUCAAGUGAUCAUUUGAUACAAUUAUUGUGGUCUACAAUUUAAUGUUUUGCAAAUUCCUGGCUGGGAAAUUCCCUUACAUAAUUGUCUGCUGUGGGAAAAUCUCUCAUUUAACCUACAAGCUACGCCCCUCUUUGAUGAAACAGCCCUUGAACAACAAAGAACUAAUUUGAGAUUGAUAAUGGCUGAAUCUACAAUACCGAAUGCUGCUAGUUCCCCACAGUUGAUGAAGGAUGGGCUCACUAGUAUGGAAAGGGUAUGAUAUUCACAUGAUAUAUACACUACUGGCCUCAUAUCCUUUGAAUCACAAAUGAAAAAGCAAUUAAUUGUAGUAGCAACCAAUGAAACAUUCAUUAUAUAAUGUUUCAUAGACUUUUCAUUGAUAACAGCUUUAACUGUAAAACAUCGUGAAAUCAAAGCAUACCCAUGAAAAUACAAUUAGUUCACCAUGAUUUUCGUAUUCACGUUGUAUUCACGGUGAUUUGAUGGGUAUGCUGUUUUUGACAACUCUAUUCAAUCCAUGAAACUAACAGUAAAAUAAUAUUAAUUUUUGGCCUGAUAAUGAUUGCAGCAGGUAACAAUUUAUGGCCUAAAUUUAAUAUCAUGUGAGCACUGAGCAAGUAGAUCUAAGUCAACAUAAGAAAGUUUGGAUCAUGUCUGGUGGAUCUUGCAGACACCCCUCCAUAAAGCAAGAGAAGACCAUUGAGUUCUCAUUAAAGUCUUAGACUUUGUUGCUUUUCUUUUCUUUUUUCAGAAUUUCUAUAUAAAGCCCAGUGCAGCAGUUGCUAUGCGCAUGCGCAGUUACUAGUUGCUAUAGCUCCAGAACUGAGAGUCUAAAAAUUAAAGCAGGGAAACUUCAGAGGAUACCAUGUACGCCGCCACUACGUAUACCAGGGAACAAAGGCUCAAAGAGGAUGAAACAGAGAAUGGUGUCAUGACCAGGAUAGCAAGUGCUGCAGCCUAGGAUUCUACUAGAGAGACUUGAGUCAAAGUAGUCUGAAAUAAGGAGGGACCAAGAGUGGCUUCUUAUUAUAAGGCUCGAAAUAUUGGUUGUGAGAGAUAACGAAAAGAACGACCCUUCUACAUGUGCACUGGGAGAGGAAAAAGAGACAGGAAGAUAUUAUGUUAUGUUAUAAUUAUUAUGGCAUACAAAUGCUCGUGGCCAUAGCAUGUACGUUUUAAGUUUCAUUUGAUGAGUAUGUAAAUUUUGAUUCACUUUAUAACUAUUAUUAAAUUUUAAUGGAUAUUUCACAAUGCUCAAUCUUUGAAAUUCUAAAAUUUAAUAGAUGUAUCCAUGAAUUUCCCAUGAAAAGCAAUGAUGCCGUAGUUUGAUUUUCCAUCUGCUUUUCAUGGGUGUGCAACAUUUUCAGCUGGUCUAUCGCGCUGUGAAAUGCAUAUGAAUUUUAAUGGAUAUUUCACAUUUCAUGGUAUGUACUAUCCUUGAAAUUCUUAAUUUUAAUAGGUGUUAUCAAUGAUUUGCCCAUGAAAAGGCAAUUAAGUCAUUGUGAUUACUCCAUAACAUUUUCCCUGAAAAGUAAUGGAUAUGCACCCAACAGUGAUAGAUGAUCAGUGCAUUCUCCUAGUGCCUAGAUGUACUUGUUGACCACCCAUAAACACACUUGGCAUCAUUCAUUCAUCACAGUAUAGUGCCUACACUCUACCCUGUCAGUGUGAGGUGUUUUAUCUCAUGUUGUUGUUCUCUCCACAUGUACCACUCUCUCUGGAUGGACAACAGGAAGACAUUGAGGUACGUUGUGUGCAAUCACAUUCCACCAAGCUGACAUGCUUGUGCUCUGAGCACUUGUUGUUAGGAGGUAGACAGUGUAAAGAAGAGCACAUACGGAUAACUGAAUGUGAUACUAUUCCUUAAUUGAGACCAGUAGAUCUACUCGUAUAGUAGUACCUGAAAGUAUGCAUGGUUAAUCAAGUGUUUCAGUCUGCAUGUUUGGCUGUCCACAAUUGUUUCCCCUCCCCUGUGUCAUGCAUCACUAGUGUACUGUAUCACUGCACUAAUGUUCUCUUCCUUCCAUUUCAUGCAUAUCCACCUCACCUUUGACUGACCCUCUGAAACAACAGUAUGUAAGUUGGUGUGUGUUGUCAGAGUAUUUAGUGUCUGUUGCAUAUUCUGUGAUGUUUCUACUUCCCCAUUAUUACUCUUGUGUGUGUGCAGUGCCGUAGUGUUAUAUAGGGAAAUAUUUAGUAUGAUCACAUUCAACCUCGUAAUCAUUCAUUCACUAUCUUCCCACGUGUUUGCCCUGUGGACUCUCCCUCUCUGGAUCAACAGUGGGUUAGUUGUGUUUGCACGUGUACACUUAUUUUAAUGGUUACUAUAGGAACUCCUACACUAAUUGUAGGAAAUCGUAAAAUGUCUUUAUCUCUUAAUUUGCAUAUUGCCAACU